rnacentral:rRNA from 1 species
UGACCCUAGGUCAGGUGGGAUUGCCUGCUGAGUUUAAGCAUAUUAAUAAGUGGAGGAAAAAAAUACUUACUAGGAUUCCCCUAGUAAUGGUGAGCAAACUAGGAAGAGCCUAGCUUGAGAAUCGAGCACCCUUAAUGUCUGAAUUGUAGUAUAAACAAGCGUCCUCAGCGUUAGACUAGGCCUAAGUCCCCUAGAAAGGAGCAUCAGAGAGGGUGAGAGCCUUAUUAAGCUUGACCCUAUCGCAACAUGAAGUGCUACUUAAGGGUUGAGUUGUUUGGGAAUGCAGCCCCAAUUGGGUGAUAAAUUUUGUCCACGACUAAAUAUAGAUGAAAGACCGAUAGCAAGCAAGCAUUGCUAGGGAAAAAUGAAAAAAAACUUUGAAAAGAGAGUCAAAAAGUGCAUGAAAUCAUUAAAAAUAAAGCAGAUGGGGGUUAGUGAUGCACCCUAAUCGGAUAUGGAAUGGUGAGAGCUAGUCUGUUGAUCAUAUUAAGGUAUGGAUUGAUAUGGGUCACAGUGACGGCCCAAGCCCAUGCUUUUGAUAGGCCUAGGAACUCGUCAUCAUCAAAACAAUUGUGGAAUGUAGUAAGCACCAUCUCAGUUUGGCUUGACACUUACCUACUCCUGGUGUUAGCCUGUAAGCUCCCCAUCUAGCUUGUCUUAAAACACAGACCAAGGAGUUUGACAUAUGUGCGAGUCAAUGAGCUAGAAAACUCAUAGGGUGAUAGGAGGUUGAUUGGUGGGAUCCCUUACGAUUACACUAUUGAUUGACCUUGAUUGUUUUAGAAGGGUUUGAGUGUGAGCAUGCCUAUUGGGACUUGAAAGAUGGUGAACUGUGCCAAAGUGGGGUGAAGCUAAAGGAAACUCUAGUGGAGGCCUACAGCAACAUUGACAUGCAAAUCAUUCUUUUGACUUGGGUAUAAGGGUAAAAGACUAAUUGAACCGUCUAGUAACCGAUUCCCUCUGAAGUUUCCUUCAAGAUAGUUGGAGCCCUUAGCGAGUUUUAUCGAGUAAAGCAAAUGAUUAGAGGCAUCGAUGGUGCAAUGCCUUCUACCUAUUCUCAAACUUUAAAUAGGUAGGAUAGUGCAGCUACCCUUUUGAACCGUACCAUGAAAUCAAGAGUUCUAAAUGGGCCAUUUUUGGUAAGCAGAAUUGGUGAUGUGGGAUGAGCUGAAAGUUGGGUUAUGGUUUCAAUUGCAUUCUAACCUAGAAUCCACAAAGGAUGUCGGUCAAUUAAGAUAGUAAGAUGAUGGUUAUGGAAGUUGAAAUCUACUAAAGAGUGUGUAACAACUCAUUUGCCAAAUCAAUUAGCCUUGAAAAUGGAUGGUUAAUAGUGCACCCUAUACCCGACCUUCAGGGCAAGGGCCAAGCCUCAAUGAGUUGAAGGGCAUGGUGAUAACUAUAAAACCUAAGGUGUGAGCCCAGGUGAAGUGGCUGUCGAUGUAGAUCUUGGUGGUAGUAGCAAAUAUUCAAAUAAGAACUUUGAAGGCCAAAUAGGGGAAAGGUUCCAUGUGAACAGCACUUGCACAUAGGUUAGUCAAUCCUAAGAGAUAGGAGAAGCCCAUCCGAUAGCAUGUCUAGCAUGAGCUUUAAAAGGGAAUCAGGUUAAAAUUCUUAAAUCGAGACACGAUAGCUAAUGGUAACAUUAGGGAGGCUAGAGAUGUUAGUAGAGGCCUUGGGAAGAGUUAUCUUUUCUAUUUAAUGCCUUGCCCACCCUGAAAUAGCUCAGUGAUGUUAGGUUCCAGUGGCUAGAAAAGCACCACACAUUAUGUGGUGUUUGGUGCACCCUCGGUGGCUUUUGAAAAUCUGAAGAACCAAGUGCUAUCCAUGCUUAGUCAUACUUAUAAUCGCAUUAGGUCUCCAAGGUGAACAACCUUUAGUCGAUGGAACAAAUGUAGGUAAGGGAAGUCAGUAAAAUGGAUUCAAAACCUUGGGAAAAUGAUUGGCUCUGAAGGCUGGGUAUGAGGAUCCCAUUCUAAACUUAUUGGCUAUCGAUGCACUUUUGAGUUGCUCUCUCUAUGAGAGAGGGUCCUCACAUGCCGAUCGGGGGAUGGAUUAGGAACAGCUCCCUUAGAGCUUUCCCGAGUGAUGAAUAGUUGACUUAAAACUAGUACAAACAAAGGGAGUCUGACUAUUUAAUUAAAGCAAAGCAUUGUGAUGGUCCCUAUGGAUGCUCAUGCAAUGUGAUAUUUGCCUAGUGCUCUAAAUGUCAAAAUGAAAAAAUUCAACCAAGAGCGAGUAAAUGGCAAGAGUAACUAUAACACUCUUAAGGUAGCCAAAUGCCUCAUCAUCUAAUUAGUGAUGCAUGUGAAUGGAUUAACGAGAUUCCCAUUGUCUCUAUCUACUAUCCAACGAAAUCAUAGCCAAGGGAAUAGGCUUGGUGAAAUUGAUAGGGAAAGAAGACCUUGUUGAGCUCGACAUUAGUUUGACUUUGUGAAAUGACGUGAUAAGUGGGAGCCCUAGGGCGAAAUUGAAAUACCACUACUUUUAACAUUAUUUUACUUAUUUCGUGAAUAGGAGGUAGGGCAUGGCCCUUUCUUUUAGACCCAAGGCUAGCCUCAGUUGGUCAAUCCCAACAGAAGACUUUGUCAGAUAGAGAAUUUGGUCGGGGUGGCACAUCUAUUAAAAGAUAAUGUAGGUGUCCUAAGAUGAGCUCAACAAGAAUAAAAAUCUCAUGUGAACAAAAGGGUAAAAGCUCAUUUGAUUUUGAUUUCUAGUACGAAUAUGAACUACAAAAGCAUGGCCCAUCAAUCAUUUAGACCUUUAAAAUUUGAGGCUAGAGGUGUCAGAAAAGUUACCACAGGGAUAAUUGGCUUGCGGCAGCCAAGCAUUGUGGUAGCCAAGCAUUCAUAGCAACAUUGCUUUUUAAUCCUUUGAUAUUGGCUCUCUCUAACAUUGUGAAGUAUAAUUCACUAAGUGUUGGAUUGUUCACCCGUAAAUAGGGAAUAUAAGCUAGGUUUCAGUCAUCAUGAGAUAGGUUAGUUUUACUGUACUGAUGGUAGCAUCACAAUAGUAAUUCAACCUAGUAUGAGAGAAACUAUUGAUUCACGCAAUUGGUUAUCAUGCUUCGUUGAAAUGCCAGCGGUGCAAAGCUAUCAUGCAUUGGAUUAUGACUGAAUGCCUCUAAGUUAGAAUCUGGGCUAGAAGCUAUGCAUGCACCCAUUGCUUAAUUGUUGACUUGAAGUAGGGGCCCAUGGCCCUUAAGGGCACCUGUCAUAGGUGCAGCCCCCAUAGCGGACAAGCCUCAAAGGUCUCUUUAGAGCU